UACGAAGGGGGCUAGCGUUGCUCGGAAUCACUGGGCGUAAAGGGUGCGUAGGCGGGUCUUUAAGUCAGGGGUGAAAUCCUGGAGCUCAACUCCAGAACUGCCUUUGAUACUGAAGAUCUUGAGUUCGGGAGAGGUGAGUGGAACUGCGAGUGUAGAGGUGAAAUUCGUAGAUAUUCGCAAGAACACCAGUGGCGAAGGCGGCUCACUGGCCCGGUACUGACGCUGAGGCACAAAGCGUGGGGAGCAACAGG
rnacentral:rRNA from 1 species